GCGUGGGUCAUUCCUGAACUUGCUCUCUUUGCAAGGAGAACAACUAACAACCAACUAUUCAUGGUUAAGACAACACUGAAAAUCCUAGAACACAGGGGUGAGGCUGAAGCACCCCUUGAACUACAGAGACCAAGACAGACUGCAUUAUAAGGAAAUAUUUACAGACAUCAGUUUCCCUUAAUUUUGAACAAAUGGUACUGACAAGGCCUUCCGGAGUAAUGAGUCUGAUGUUAGCCAGCUUUCUGGAAAGCCAUCUUCUGCAAAGAUAAAAGAAGACAAAGAGAAUUCAAUGGAGAGUUUAUUUCCAACAAAACAUGACAUUAAACCAAAAAGGAAGAUGUGAAAAUGAACUUUGGAUCUAACCUAGAAGAAAGAAAGAGAAGUCCUAAAACCACACGUGAAUGCAGCCCUUGAAAAGAAGUAGCAGGAUGAGAAUUUUGAAAAGCAUCAAAUGAUGAUGAAUGGACAUUCGCUUGAAUUCGAUGCUUCAGGUGUUAUCUGUUGGAUAAUAUGAACGUUCAGAAUUAGGGUCACAUUAAAAUGCAAUAUAAUUAUAUUUUAACUUGGCACUGUAUUCAA